rnacentral:rRNA from 1 species
UACGGAGGGUGCGAGCGUUGUCCGGAAUCACUGGGCGUAAAGGGCGCGUAGGUGGCGCGGGUAGUCAUCGGUGAAAGCUCAGGGCUCAACCCUGAGUCGGCCGGUGAUACUCCCGUGCUUGAGUGUGGUAGAGGCCAAUGGAAUUCCGGGUGUAGCGGUGGAAUGCGUAGAGAUCCGGAAGAACACCGGUGGCGGAGGCGGUUGGCUGGGCCACAACUGACACUGAUGCGCGACAGCGUGGGGAGCAAACAGG